AGUGAACGCUGGCGGUAGGCCUAACACAUGCAAGUCGAACGGCAGCACAGGAGAGCUUGCUCUCUGGGUGGCGAGUGGCGGACGGGUGAGGAAUACAUCGGAAUCUACUCUGUCGUGGGGGAUAACGUAGGGAAACUUACGCUAAUACCGCAUACGACCUACGGGUGAAAGCAGGGGACCUUCGGGCCUUGCGCGAUUGAAUGAGCCGAUGUCGGAUUAGCUAGUUGGCGGGGUAAAGGCCCACCAAGGCGACGAUCCGUAGCUGGUCUGAGAGGAGGGUCAGCCACACUGGAACUGAGACACGGUCCAGACUCCUACGGGAGGCAGCAGUGGGGAAGAUUGGAUAAUGGGCGCAAGCCUGAUCCAGCCAUACCGCGUGGGUGAAGAAGGCCUUCGGGUUGUAAAGCCCUUUUGUUGGGAAAGAAAUCCAGCUGGCUAAUACCCGGUUGGGAUGACGGUACCCAAAGAAUAAGCACCGGCUAACUUCGUGCCAGCCGCCGCGGUAA
rnacentral:rRNA from 1 species